rnacentral:lncRNA from 1 species
UUCAAGUGAAUUUGUUCUUUGACUGCAAUAACAUAGCCAAAAUUCCAGUUAUCAACUUAUAACCUUUGUCUCUUAAGAUAGAAGAAUGAUUAAUAUGAGUAUGUGACUAGACAUAAGCUGUAAUUUUUUAUAUUCUUCUAGAAACGAGGUAAGAUGCUGAACAAUGAACCUGUCCAACUUUUAAAGUUUCAUGGGGCAGAGACCGUGAAAAGUAUAUGGAAGCCACAAUAUGGAAUUUGCAACAGCAGUAGCAGUUUUUUUCCUGUCUUUAGAAAAAAGCAACAAAGUUCAUAUUGUUCACGUUGACAAAAUCCACAAAAAUAUAUGUUACACUGUCAAUAGAUUCAAACCAGUGUACUUAUAUAUCUGGCGUAGGCUGAUUUGCAUACUUAUAAUGACUCCCCUCUGCAUAUAUAUGCAUGGUGUUUCUACUUUUGAUCAAUGAGACUUGCCAUGUCUACUUCUUCAAAGAGCAUCAUCUGUUACAGCGAAGAAGAUACUGAACUUAGAAGAGGGCCAUGGAGUAUUGAAGAGGAUGAUCUUCUUGGCAAUUACAUUGCCAAUCAUGGAGAAGGGAGAUGGAAUUUGGUUGCUAUACGUGCAGGUAAUCAAAGAUAAGAAUAAAAAGAAACCUUGUUGGUGGUAAUCUAUUUGGUAUUUUUUAUAUUGUUGUGAACAAUUUGCAUGCUAAUUCUGAUUACUUUCUUUAUCUUUUGUGAUGACUAAAUUUUCUCAAGGAUUAAGGAGAACAGGAAAGAGUUGCAGAUUAAGGUGGCUAAAUUAUCUAAAGCCAGAUGUUAAACGAGGCAAUUUAACCUCAGAGGAGCAGCUUUUGAUUUUUGAACUCCACUCAAAGUGGGGUAACAGGUGCAUAUCUCAUAUUUACUUCUCUUUAGUGAAACUGUGCUUAUUCAAACGCUUUUUAUUGUUGAGAAAGAAGCAAAACGGGCCACUAACCAUGUGCUAGUCAAAUUCAGAAUAAUAUCCUUUCUUUGGAUUCUUAUUCCCACUUAUGUGAUUGUUGUAGGUGGUCAAAAAUUGCACAACAGCUGCCAGGCAGAACAGACAAUGAAAUAAAGAACUAUUGGAGAACAAGGAUUCAGAAACAAGCGAGAUAUAUGAAAUCUGAGACACAGAGAACAACAGGAUUUGUAGAAUUUUUCAAGGGUCUACAGAUGACAAGAUGUCUUCAUAAAGCACAAGAAUCAUCUCCUUCAGCCAUGUCACUCCAAGACCAAGAAAUUCCUAUGCCUUCUGAUGGUGGUUCUCACUAUUCAUCAUUUGGGAUUGAGGCAACACCAGAAACACAACAUUUGAAUCAGCAUGAGCAGAACUCAGACUCUGAGCACAACAAUGGUUCAAGCAUUUCCAAUUCAGAAUCAGUAAAUAUCCAAUAUAUGACUCAGCCUUUAGGGUGCACUACAAAUCAAUUCCAGGCCUUAGACAACUAUGAUUUUGGCAUCUGUUCAUAUGAUAGCUACAACAUAGAUAACAGUGCCUAUGACAUGGAUUCAUUCAACCUGGCAGCCACAAUGGAUGCUCAGAAUCUGACACUCCCAGUUAUUGGUUGCCAAAUAUCAGAAACCAACUCGCUAAAUAUGGAAUCUGAAUGCAGCACAAGGAGCAAUGAUGAAUUAUGGCAAUUUAUGAACAUAUAAAUAAGAAUAUUUAGAUUUUAGAGCACUCUUUCAAAACUUUCUUUCAUAUGUAGUGUUUGCUAUUAGAUAGAUAAUCAAUAUAAAUGUAAAGACUAAUUGUUUUAUAAUUUAAAGUACACCAGGAUAUGUUUCUGUUUUGCAUAUUUAACUUCUCUGAAUUGAAUACUGUGAUGAGUGCAUUUUUCGAAUGAGUUGGAAAUUUGAAAGGGCGUAGAUAUUCACAAGACCAUAAUAUAAAAAUUGAAAAUUUGAGUGUAAAACCACAACACUGUCAAAGAUUUCAUAAAUUUCUUAAAUGUGCUUGAACAGUCAAGACUUGAAUUUGAAUCUAGGACUACAGCUGGAAGGGAAUGUAUACAAAUUUUAUGGACAUUUCAAAAUAACCAUUUUUUUCAAACCUUGAUCGGAAGAUUACUUUUUCAGUUCAAGUCAGAGUGCAGCCACCGCCAACUUUGAUGGAACAGAUGAUUCAUCGAGAAGAAAGCGAAAAUUUGCAAACGACUAUGAAACAUCUACUUUUGAAAUCUAUUCUCAUAAUUUUCUUCUCUGUACGGUCUUCGUA